UGCGUUCAAUGGAUGCCUUGGUGCAACACACCGAAGAAGGACGUGGAGGGCUGCGAUAAGUACCGGUGAGCUGCCGUCAAGCUUUGAUCCGGUAAUUUCCGAAUGGGGAAACCCGCUUGUGCAUGGCACAGGGGUUCUUAAGUCACUUAAGUACCUUAAGUUACUUAGGGGUUCUUGCGCUGUGCAUGAGCAUCCUUUUGCGAAUUAAUAAGCUUAAGGAAGGGUACCGUCUGAACUGAAACAUCUAAGUAAGGCGAGGAAAAGAAAGUAAUUAACGAUUCCCUGAGUAGUGGCGAGCGAAAGGGGAAAAGCCCAAACCAGGUACCAUACGGUACCUGGGGUUGCGGGACUCUAAUAUGAGAUCUCACUUAAGAUAGCAGAACUGUCUGGAAUGGCAGGCCAUAGAGAGUGAAAGACUCGUAUGUGAAAUCUUAAAUGGCUCUAGGAGUAUCCCAAGUACUACGGGACACGCGAAAUCCUGUAGGAAUCUGGCUCGACCAUGAGCUAAGGCUAAAUAUGUGUUGCGACCGAUAGUGAACUAGUACCGUGAGGGAAAGGUGAAAGAGUACCCCGGAAGGGGAAUGAAAAGUACCUGAAAUUGAACGCUAACAAGCAGCCGGAGCCAGGUACCGUCUGGUACCUGGUGACGACGUGCCUAUUGAAGAAUGAACCGGUGAGUUUUUCCAUUCUGUAGUCUAACCCCGCCUUUUGGCCGUAAGCCAAAGGCGCAAAUUCGAAGCACGAAUAUCGAAAUACUAAACAAAUUCGAAUUUUCAAAUUUUCAAAAUUCGAAAAAGCUGGUUUUGAUCAUUUGAAUUUAGGAUUUUGUAUUUGUUUCGGAUUUAGAAUUUAGAAUUUUGGAAUUCUGACCUUUGCGAGUUUGCGAGCAAAGGGCGGGGGGAGGCAAAGUGAAAGCGAGCGUUAAUAGCGCGUCCCGCCCUUUUUGGGUUUAAGUUAGACGGGGACAAUGUUCAAUUUGAACUUGAAAAGGGCGGGAUUAUACAGCAUGGAAAAGACCCGAAACCGCGUGAGCUAGCCAUGGCCAGGAUGAAGUCCCGCGAAAGCGGUAUGGAGGUCCGAACCCGUGUCAGUUGCAAGUGGCUGGGAUGAGCUGUGGUUAGGGGUGAUAUGCCAAUCGAACGCGGAGAUAGCUGGUUCUCCCCGAAAUAUAUUUAGGUAUAGCCCCCGUCAAAGUUCCUAGGGGUAGAGCACUGAAUAGUCUGUGCGCAGCAAUGUGUGCUGAUUAAUCAAACUUCGAAUACUGGGAAAUAAUCUAGGCGGGGAGUCAGUCCGACCCGGAUAAGCGGGCCAGGGCUAAAGGGAAACAUCCCAGAUCCAAAGCUAAGGUCCCGAAGUGUAUUUUAAGUGUGCAAGGUAGUAUUGACGUUUAGACAGCAAGGAGGUUGGC
rnacentral:rRNA from 1 species